UACGUAGGGUGCGAGCGUUGUCCGGAAUUAUUGGGCGUAAAGAGCUCGUAGGCGGCUUGUCACGUCGGGUGUGAAAGCCCGGGGCUUAACCCCGGGUCUGCAUUCGAUACGGGCAGGCUAGAGUUCGGCAGGGGAGACUGGAAUUCCUGGUGUAGCGGUGAAAUGCGCAGAUAUCAGGAGGAACACCGGUGGCGAAGGCGGGUCUCUGGGCCGAUACUGACGCUGAGGAGCGAAAGCGUGGGGAGCGAACAGG
rnacentral:rRNA from 1 species